rnacentral:rRNA from 1 species
GUACUGUGAGGUAUGCUGGAGGUAUCAGAAGUGCGAAUGCUGACAUAAGUAACGAUAAAGCGGGUGAAAAGCCCGCUCGCCGGAAGACCAAGGGUUCCUGUCCAACGUUAAUCGGGGCAGGGUGAGUCGACCCCUAAGGCGAGGCCGAAAGGCGUAGUCGAUGGGAAACAGGUUAAUAUUCCUGUACUUGGUGUUACUGCGAAGGGGGGACGGAGAAGGCUAUGUUGGCCGGGCGACGGUUGUCCCGGUUUAAGCGUGUAGGCUGGUUUUCCAGG